rnacentral:rRNA from 1 species
GUGGGGAAUCUUAGACAAUGGGGGAAACCCUGAUCUAGCCAUGCCGCGUGAUCGAUGAAGGCCUUAGGGUUGUAAAGAUCUUUCAGGUGGGAAGAUAAUGACUGUACCACCAGAAGAAGCCCCGGCUAACUCCGUGCCAGCAGCCGCGGUAAUACGGAGGGGGCUAGCGUUGUUCGGAAUUACUGGGCGUAAAGCGCACGUAGGCGGAUUGGAAAGUUGGGGGUGAAAUCCCGGGGCUCAACCCCGGAACUGCCUUCAAAACUCCCAGUCUUAAGUUCGAGAGAGGUGAGUGGAAUUCCGAGUGUAGAGGUGAAAUUCGUAGAUAUUCGGAGGAACACCAGUGGCGAAGGCGGCUCACUGGCUCGAUACUGACGCUGAGGUGCGAAAGCGUGGGGAGCAAACAGGAUUAGAAACCCCAGUAGUCC